CUACCAUCUAGGGCUUUGGACUGGGUAAGAUAAAAAAAAAAAAAAAAAUCUGUUCUUAUCAGUUUAAUAUCUGGUACGCCGGCACAGUCCGGCUCAUAUAUUAAUCUGAUUUUUAACAUUAGGUCAUGGGAUCAUAGGUUUACCUUGCCUGACCACGGGUUGCCUCGGCUUUGCACUACUGCUGAGCGCGGCCCAGAAUGA